rnacentral:rRNA from 1 species
UAAUUCCGGAUCUCAGAUCAAGCAAGAUGACCCGCGCGAAUUUAAGCAUAUAAUUAAGCGGAGGAAAAGAAACUAACUAG